rnacentral:sRNA from 1 species
UCUCGAUAUCGAGGAGGACCGCGACCGU